CUAGAGAUUAUGGAAGCUAGCGC
rnacentral:siRNA from 1 species